GACGAACGCUGGCGGCGUGCUUAACACAUGCAAGUCGAACGCUGAAGCCCUGGCUUUUGUUGGGUUGGAUGAGUGGCGAACGGGUGAGUAACACGUGAGUAACCUGCCCUCUUCUUUGGGAUAACGCCCGGAAACGGGUGCUAAUACUGGAUAUUCACUGGCCUUCGCAUGGGGGUUGGUGGAAAGGUUUGUUCUGGUGGGGGAUGGGCUCGCGGCCUAUCAGCUUGUUGGUGGGGUGAUGGCCUACCAAGGCUUUGACGGGUAGCCGGCCUGAGAGGGUGACCGGUCACAUUGGGACUGAGAUACGGCCCAGACGCCUACGGGAGGCAGCAGUGGGGAAUAUUGCACAAUGGGCGAAAGCCUGAUGCAGCGACGCCGCGUGAGGGAUGGAGGCCUUCGGGUUGUAAACCUCUUUCGCUCAUGGUCAAGCCGCAACUGUGGGUUGUGGUGAGGGUAGUGGGUAAAGAAGCGCCGGCUAACUACGUG
rnacentral:rRNA from 1 species